rnacentral:lncRNA from 1 species
AUCCCCACAUGAGCAUCUCCCCUUAGAAGUUAUUCAUAAUAUUUAUCAUGCAUUCGGUAUGUACUGACAUGCUUGUAGUAGAUGACUGGCAUUCACAUAGUUAAUAAUCUGGUUCGAACAUUUGCUAAUUUUCCAAAAUGUCCAAUUCAGAAUUAUGGGUCAUUUGACCAAGGCAGAGAUUUUUAAACUGGGGUUCCUUCUGUGCAGGAGCCCUUCUUAUCAUCAUUCUCUCAGCACUGUUCUUAUCCCAUGAAUCUUAUAACAAAAUUGUACAUAUUGAUGGAUUAGCAUACAUCUCUGGACUUACCCCUUUUGAAUGUCAAGAGUUUAUUUCAUAUUCAGUUUGGUUGUUGACAACAUACCAUCUUAUAUUGUACAGGAUUUAUUUGUGUGAGUCUUACCUUCCCCCUUGAGGGAGGGAAGCAUGUUGUACACAUUUUUUCUAUUUUUACAAUACUUAAAUUUGGAGCAUAUAAGAAAUUAUUCUCAGUAAGCACUUACUGAGUUAGGAAUUCACUCUAUAACAACAUUCUAAGCACCCUUUACCACAACAUGAGAGAGACUAGUGCCAAAAUAUUUGUGGCAGAUCUCACAACUGAUUUUAUUCCUUCAGCUGGUCGUGAUUCAUAGGUGAGAUGAAGAAGUGAAUUUCUUCAGAAUGCUUUGGGAUGCUAGAGUAGAUCUAGUUAUAGAGAUAGUGAGGUUUAAAGGUUCCAUAAAUUCUUACCCUCCAGACUAUGCCCUCACCUUUUCAUAUUCUUAGAUGAAGUCCAGGAGAAUUUAGUGGAAUCCAAACAGAGGAAAGUUCCUGGUGAGGAGGCUAUGAAUCAGGGGACUGGAUUUUUGUUUCACUGAUGUCCCCUAUGAAACAUCUUGGGGAAUCCUAGAAGGUUAAAUCAUAGCCUUUCCAGAAUGAAGAGAUGCCAGAAUGUAGGAUGAAAUCAAGGGAAGGUUGAUGGUGGGUAUAUGGCUCUAAAAAGAUACUUUGCAAGUUGUAUUUCAUGGGUCAGUAGUCUCAGGAGAUGGUCAGACCUGCUUCACUUUCCCAUAAGUACAGGAAGCACACAGAACGACCUGUCUGGAGAGUAAUAAUGUAUUUGACAUAAUAAAGGCUUCAUUUGGUCUCAUCUGGCCUUUUCUAAAUGUAUUUGUGCAAGGAACCCCAACCCCUUUUUGGCAACACUCAUUAGCAUCUUCCAGAACUCCUGUUCCAUGGACUAUGCCUUGGGGAAUGAAGGUUUGGAAAAGGGAGGAAAGAUAGCUAAAGACAGCUAGUGAAGAUAAUGCAUUUAAUUACUAAUGAUGAUAAAUUAAUGUGCUAAACAAUAUGUAUCUGGAUACAAUGUUUAAAUAUAGGUGGCUGAGAAGAAUUUGCAUUAUAUAGAGUAUAACCUACAAAUAAUAAGGCAGCUCAAAGAUAACAAUAACUUAAACCUAAUGUACAACAUCUAAACUUCAUUAUGUUUUAAGUUAUAGGAAGCAAAUGUCUUCAUAAAAACAUACCAGUGAUACAUUUAAUAAAACUGCUUCACUGCUUUCCUCAUAUGUAACAUAACCAGGACACCACAAAUGAUACCCGCUAUUAAUCAGGAGGCAACUCAUAAAAUAAAGCAAAGUACUUGGAAAGGAAAACAUUCUAGGGAUUUGCUUCAAACCUCAACCUCAGGUGUACAAUGUGUACAUUACAAUGUCAUUUGUUUUAUAAGAAGGUGGAUGUUUACUGUACAAGAGAAUUAACAAGAGAUCUGCCGGCAAAGUAUGAAUAGAAUGAGAGAAAACAUCAAAGGAACAGAGCCAAUGGCUCGUUAAGAGUUUCUGAAUAAUUGAAUUGACAGAGUAACUUCCAAGCAAUACUGGAGCAAGAGAUAAAAAUUUCUAGGGCAACUUCCUUCUACACUGUAAAGUCUGUAUGGUGAUAUACUUAGAAAUCUGUAUUUUCCAGAAUCUGGGACAGAUUCAUCUGUUCACCCAGUGAGGAAAAUGGAAAACCUUUGACUCUGAAAGACAAGGAGUUAGGUGAGUCUAGACAUAAGACAAACAGAUUAAAUCUAUUCCACUGAAACAUAGAUACAUGAUUUCUCUCCAGAGAAUACCAAAGACUGACAAAAUAAACAAAGAAAUAACAUGUUUCUUAACUUAUGAAAUGUGACAGUCAAUGGCAUAUGGCAAAACAAAAUGCAAGGAAACAAUGUUUUAAGUUUUCCAAUGUUAGUAGCUAAGGAGGACGUGGAAGGCAGGUCGCACCUCUUUAAAAGCAAGUGCUAAAAAGAAAUCUCUUUCAGAAGUCCCUUUAUAAGAGAGCUCUUCUUAUUUUUACCAUAGGCAGUACUUUGUUAUUUGGGGACAAGAGGGUAAGACUGCCUAAGUCAACUAUUCAGAAUUUCCUAGGGUAUCUGCUUGACAACAUCCUCCUCCUGAUAAUAAAAUUGUCAACUUAACCAAUAUCACUUCCACUCUCAGGCCAUGUCGUGGGCACACAACACAGACCUGGCACCUGGGUGUGCCCCUUUCUUAUCUAACCAUAGUGAUCAAUUCAGGGAUGUAUGUGGGAGCUCUAAUGGGCCAAUGAGGUCAUACCGAGGGCAUUUGGCAGAGUCAUUGGGACAGAUGUACUCUUAUUUCCUGGGGAGAAUGCUAACUGAGGAAGCUAAAAUCCCAGAGCGGCUGAUAACCACCUUUUCUGCUAUGUGGUAAGGUCUUAUCUGAAAGAAACAACAAGAGUGAAGAAAAUAGGGCUAAAAACUAUAAAGAGAUAGAUUCUUGGUAUGUGACUGCAUGGGUUUGACCAUGAUGAAUUCUUCAUCUACAAGCACUAAUAAACCUCCUUUUAGGUUUAUCUAGCUUGAAAUUUUCUUUUUUCAUUUCUCUCUCCUUUCCCUUACCUUCCUCUCCCUGUCCUUCCUUCCCCUCCCUUUGUCACUCUUUCCUUUCUUCUAUCUCCUCCUCCUUCUUUUCUACUAGCAAUCUAACAACAAAAGCUGAGCCCAGAUCAGUGGUUACAUUGACUGAUUUGAACAAAGAGCUGGUCACUAUGCAUAGAGUAUCACAAAUAAGAAAGUGAUGCAUAGAGUAAUCACAACUGCUUUUAGGGCUGAGCUCAAACAAAUAAACGCCAGAGUCUGAUGAAUACCUGAUGGUCAACAUAUUCAUUACGCUAUGUGGUAAUUAGUUAUGGAUUCUAAGUAGUUUGUAUACAUUGUUGUAAGUACUUCAUAUAUAUUAAGAAGAAGCUGGCACAUGGCUGGCAUUCCACUGGUGGAGGAAAUAAACAAUAAGACUUCCUAUAUUUGCUUUGGUAUGUUCAAAUUUAUCUCUACUCCUAGGAGUGUUGCUAAGCUUAUUAUUUCUCAAGUAGGAAGAGAGAGAUGAGUUGAAAUGUAGCUUGAUGUACAUAUUGGAAAACAAAGAGUUAAUACCCUAAAGAGAAAAAGACAGAAGGGACUAAAGAGUCCCUAAUCAAUUUGGAAUGUUGAUAAGCAAAAUUUUGUUUCAAGUGUGUUAAAUAAAAUAUUAAAUCUUCAGAGAGAACUACUUCUUUGAAUUUUAGUUUGCCAAGAUCUUAUCUCAAAAUUUCCUCUUCCUCAAUCCUUGAAAAAAGAAAACAAAUGCUUUCUACAAGAUGCUGGCCUUAGAAAGGAUUAGUCAGUAAAUGAAGAGAGAUGGCUAGUUUCU